AACGAACGCUGGCGGCAUGCCUAACACAUGCCAGUCGAACGAUGCCUUCGGGCAUAGUGGCGCACGGGUGCGUAACGCGUGGGAAUCUGCCUUUCGGUUCGGAAUAACUCAGGGAAACUUGAGCUAAUACCGGAUAACGUCGCAAGACCAAAGAUUUAUCACCGAAAGAUGAGCCCGCGUAGGAUUAGCUAGUUGGUGAGGUAAAGGCUCACCAAGGCGACGAUCCUUAGCUGGUCUGAGAGGAUGAUCAGCCACACUGGGACUGAGACACGGCCCAGACUCCUACGGGAGGCAGCAGUGGGGAAUAUUGGACAAUGGGCGAAAGCCUGAUCCAGCAAUGCUGCGUGAGUGAUGAAGGCCUUAGGGUUGUAAAGCUCUUUUACCCGGGAAGAUAAUGACGGUACCGGGAGAAUAAGCCCCGGCUAACUCCGUG
rnacentral:rRNA from 1 species